rnacentral:lncRNA from 1 species
UGUGCUCUUCUGACCCAGUUGCCUGCUGCCAGGGGACCUGGCUGAGUGUGGCAGAAGUGCUCGCCAACCCAAAGUGGCAUGUGCCUAGUGGGAAGUCCAGGCUCUACAAA